AAUGAACGUUGGCGGCGUGGAUUAGGCAUGCAAGUCGUGCGGUACUCCUCCGCGGGGGGGGCGAGAGCGGCGAAAGGGAGAGUAACGCGUGGGUAACCUACCCCCGGGACCGGGAUAGCCGCGGGAAACUGCGGGUAAUACCGGAUAACGUCUCCGGACCAAAAGGUGUGAUUCCGCCUGGGGAGGGGCCCGCGUCCUAUUAGCUAGUUGGUGAGGUAAUGGCUCACCAAGGCAAAGAUGGGUACGGGGUGUGAGAGCAUGCCCCCGCUCACUGGGACUGAAACACUGCCCAAACACCUACGGGUGGCUGCAGUCGAGGAUCUUCGGCAAUGGGCGAAAGCCUGACCGAGCGACGCCGCGUGCGGGAUGAAGGCCUUCGGGUUGUAAACCGCUGUCAGAGGGGAGGAAAUGUCGGGGUGUAAUAAAUAAUCGCCCUGGCUUGACCUAUCCUCAGAGGAAGGACGGGCUAUGUUCGUGCCAGCAGCCGCGGUAAGACGAACCGUCCAAACGUUAUUCGGAAUCACUGGGCUUAAAGGGUGCGUACGCGGCUCGGCAAGUUGGGUGUGAAAGCCCUC
rnacentral:rRNA from 1 species